GGGAGGGUGGUGAGUGUGCAAAGGGGUGUGCAAGGGGGAUGAGUGUGCAUGGGGGGGUGCACGUAGGGGUGGCGGUAGUGGUGUGCAGGUGCACGUGGGUGAGUGUGCAAGGGUGGGUGGGUGCACGUGGGCAUGCAUGUGCUCGUGGGUGGGUGUGCACAGGUGUGUGAGUGCACGUGGGUGUGCGCAUGGGUGUGCAUGUGCACCAUGCGGGUGUGUGCACAGGUGUGGGUGUGCAUGUGGGUGAGUGUGCACAGGUGUGGGUGUGCGUGCACGGGUGUGGGUGUGCACGUGGGCGUGCAUCUCCACAUAGGAAAGUGAGAGUGCACACGUGUGUGAGUGCACGUGGGUGUGCACAUGGGUGUGCAUGUGCACCAUGCGAGUCUGUGCACAGGUGUGGGUGUGCAUGUGGGUGAGUGUGCACAGGUGUGGGUGUGCACGUGGGCGUGCAUCUGCACAUGGGUAAGUGAGAGUGCACACGUGUGUGAGUCCACGUGGGUGUGCACAUGAGUGUGCAUGUGCACCACGUGGGUCUGUGCACAGGUGUAGGUGUGCAUAUGGGUGAGUGUGCACAGGUGUGUGAGUGCACUUGGGUGUGCACGAGUGUGCAUGUGCACCACGUGGGUGUGUGCACAGGUGCUGGUGUGCAUGUGGGUGUGCAUGUGCACGUGGGCGAGUGUGCACAGGUGUGGGUGUACACUGGGAAGUGUGUGUGUGCACGGGUAUCUGUGCAUUGGGGAGUGUGUUUGCACAUGGGGGGGUGUGCAGGUCUGUGGAGGGAUGUGGGUGUGCACACAGGUGUGCACACUCAAGUGUGAGCGCACUUCUGCACGGUUGUGCGUGCACGGAGGUGGUUGUGCACGUGGGUGUGCAUUGGGGUGGGUGUGCACGGAUAUGUGUGAGUGCACAUGGGUGUGCACAGAGAUGGGCGUGUGCAUGCAGAGAGAUCUGUGUGGGCACAUGGGUGUGCAUUGGGGUGCACGCACCUGGGUGUGUGCAUGGGAUGUGUGCACACGGGUGGAUGUGCAAGGCUGUGGGUGUGCACUUGAGUGUGAACACAAAUGUGCGUGCACAGGUGACGGUGUGCUACCGCACAUGGCUUCGCAUGCACAGAUGUGUGCGUGUGCACGUGGGUGUGCACACGGGGGUGUGCACCAGUUUGGGUGUGGAUGGGGGCAGACGUGCAAGGGGGUGGGUGUGCACGGAGGUGGGUGUGCACAUGGGUGUGCACGGCGAUGUGAGCACCUGUGUGAGUGUGCAUGUGUGCAAGGAUGUGUGUGCAUGGUUGUGCAUGCAUGUGGGAGUGUGUGCACGUUUGUGCAUGCGUGCUUGGAUAUGUGUGUGCAUGGGAUAUAUGUGCACAGUUGUGUGUGCACAUGGGCGUGCGGGCACGUUUGUGCACGUGUGCAGGGACGUGUGUGCACGUGGGUGUGUGUACAUGGGGUAUGUGUGCAUGGUUGUGCGUGCACGUGGGUGUACGUGCACGUUUGUGCAUGUGUGCUUAGAUGUGUGCGUGUGCAUGGGAUUUGUGCACACUUGUGCGUGCGCAUGGGUGUGCGGGCACAUUUGUGCACGUGUGCAUGGUUGUGUGUGCAUGUGGGCCUGUGUACAUGGGAUAUGUGUACAUGGUUGUGCACACACGUGGGAGCACAUGCACGUUUGUGCAUGUGUGCUUGGAUGUGUGUGUGCAUGGGAUUUGUGCACACUUUUGCGUGCACAUGGGUGUGCAUGCACAUUUGUGCACAUGUGCAUGGUUGUGCGUGCACGUGGGCGUGUGUGCAUGGGAUAUGUGUGCAUGGUUGUGCGUGCACGUGGGCGUGUGCAUGGAUGUGUGUGUGCACGGCGGUGGUGGGUGCGCGUGCACGGGUGUAGGUGUGCACGGGGGCGUGCACGGGGCCACACGCACUUGGGUUCCCUCGGGUGCGUGUGCACGGGGGUGUGCACGUGGGGUGCGGGUGUAGGUGUGCACUUGGGGGGGGCUGUGUGCACAGACGUGCACGGGGGUGCCCACGUGAGUGUGACAAUGGUGACAAUGGGGGUGUGUGUGUGGGGGGGGGUGCACACUGGGGCCAGUGGUCACCAUGGCGACCGCAUCCCUGGGUUUGGGUGGCAGCGGUCGCCGUGGCAACCGAGAUGCGAC
rnacentral:lncRNA from 1 species